GAGUAACUAUGUUUGCGUGGCAUGCUAUAGCCCCUCCUUGGUAGCAUGUUGUUGACAAGCAUCCGGCCCGAUUUCUAGGUGCACGUUGGAUUGAUGUCGUGGGGCCCGUUGCGGUUUCGUGUUGGUUUGCUGAUCGUCGAAGCAUGCCCCGUCGUUGUGUAGUAACUGCCUUGUGCCAUGUAUCCAUUGGAUCAAUGUGGCACGGGCAAAGAAAAUCGCGAUUGGGUUUGUGGGGACGUUGACGCGGCUUGGACGGAGUUUGCUUUCGUGUCCCGCGACGUCGGUGUUUACGUGAUUUCCGUCCCGGUGAGACCCGAUAUAGGUGUACGUUGGAUCGAUGUCGUGGGCCCGUUGCGGUUUCGUGUUGGUUUGCUGAUCGUCGAAGCAUGCCCCGUCGUUGUGCAGUAACUGCCUUGUGCCAUGUAUCCAUUGGAUCAAUGUGGCACGGGCAAAGAAAAUCGCGAUUGGGUUUGUGGGGACGUUGACGCGGCUUGGACGGAGUUUGCUUUCGUGUCCUGCGAUGUCGGUGUUUACGUGAUUUCCGUCCCGGUGAGACCCGAUAUAGGUGUACGUUGCAUCGAUGUCGUGCGGCCCGUUGCGGUUUCGUGUUGGUUUGCUGAUCGUCGAAGCAUGCCCCGUCGUUGUGCAGUAACUGCCUUGUGCCAUGUAUCCAUUGGAUCAAUGUGGCACGGGCAAAGAAAAUCGCGAUUGGGUUUGUGGGGACGUUUGACGCGGCUUGGACGGAGUUUGCUUUCGUGUCCUGCGACAUCAUGGUUUAUGUGUUUUUCGUACCGUUCGGUGCAUUUCGGGAGCUUCUUCGUGCUUGUAGUUGUUUGCUUGGCUUUCGGGCUUUGUUUGUGGCUACUUGUGUGGGUCGUUUCAGGGAAUGAAUAUCGUAAAGGUGCAUGAGUGGUGUUUGGUGUGUUGCUGGUGGUUGGAUGACUGCAUUCGCAGCAACGUCCACCGGGGCAUACCUCUUCAUUUACGGUGAACGGUUGUUUCUCAACCGGGAGCUUUGUCGGGUUUUCCUGUGUUGCGUACCUACUUUAGGGCAUGCUAUUUGUUGGUUAAUGUGGAUUUUCAUUCCAUGUCACUCGCGUGGCGUGGGAUGAACUAGAACUGGCCCCUCUAUGUUCCAUGUAUUUGACGCAUCAUGUCAUUUUCAUGGCCCAUUGGGUGUGGCUUGGUUUCUUGGAUACAGAACCUUAUGUGGGCAUGGGGUUGCUUAUGACCCUGAUUUUGCCCUCGUCAAGCGUUCUUGCCCCUAAAAAACAACAUGCGGUCGUGCAUC
rnacentral:misc_RNA from 1 species